rnacentral:rRNA from 1 species
UACGUAGGUGGCAAGCGUUGUCCGGAUUUACUGGGCGUAAAGAGCGCGCAGGCGGUCGUUCAAGUCGCGUGUGAAAGCCCCCGGCUCAACUGGGGAGGGUCACGCGAUACUGAUCGACUGGAAGGCAGGAGAGGGUAGUGGAAUUCCCGGUGUAGUGGUGAAAUGCGUAGAUAUCGGGAGGAACACCAGUGGCGAAGGCGGUGCUCUGGGCCGGAACUGACGCUGAGGAGCGAAAGCGUGGGGAGCAAACAGG